GACGAACGCUGGCGGCGUGCCUAAUACAUGCAAGUAGAACGCACAGUUUAUACCGUAGCUUGCUGCACCAUAGACUGUGAGUUGCGAACGGGUGAGUAACGCGUAGGUAACCUGCCUGGUAGCGGGGGAUAACUAUUGGAAACGAUAGCUAAUACCGCAUAAUAUUAAUUAUUGCAUGAUAAUUAAUUGAAAGGUGCAAUUGCACCACUACCAGAUGGACCUGCGUUGUAUUAGCUAGUAGGUGAGGUAACGGCUCACCUAGGCGACGAUACAUAGCCGACCUGAGAGGGUGAUCGGCCACACUGGGACUGAGACACGGCCCAGACUCCUACGGGAGGCAGCAGUAGGGAAUCUUCGGCAAUGGACGAAAGUCUGACCGAGCAACGCCGCAUGAGUGAAGAAGGUUGUCGGAUCGUAAAGCUCUGUUGUAAGAGAAGAACGGGUGUGAGAGUGGAAAGUUCACACUGUGACGGUAUCUUACCAGAAAGGGACGGCUAACUACGUG
rnacentral:rRNA from 1 species